rnacentral:rRNA from 1 species
UACGUAGGAUCCAAGCGUUAUCCGGAUUCAUUGGGUUUAAAGGGUGCGUAGGCGGUCUGAUAAGUCCGCGGUGAAAUCUCUCGGCUUAACCGAGAAACUGCCGUUGAUACUGUCAGUCUUGAGUACAGAUGAUGUGGGCGGAAUAUGACAUGUAGUGGUGAAAUACUUAGAUAUGUCAUAGAACACCGAUUGCGAAGGCAGCUCACAAAACUGUCACUGACGCUGAGGCCCGAAAGCGUGGGGAGCAAACAGG